rnacentral:rRNA from 1 species
UACGUAGGGGGCAAGCGUUGUCCGGAAUCAUUGGGCGUAAAGCGCGCGUAGGCGGCCCGGUAAGUCCGCUGUGAAAACUCGAGGCUCAACCUCGAGACGUCGGCGGAAACCAUCUGGCUAGAGUCCGGAAGAGGAGAGUGGAAUUCCUGGUGUAGCGGUGAAAUGCGUAGAGAUCAGGAAGAACACCCGUGGCGCAAGCGACCACCUGGCCGAGACCUGACGCUGAGGCGCGAGAGCGUGGGGAGCGAACCGG